GUGGGGAAUCUUGCGCAAUGGGCGAAAGCCUGACGCAGCCAUGCCGCGUGAAUGAUGAAGGUCUUAGGAUUGUAAAAUUCUUUCACCGGGGACGAUAAUGACGGUACCCGGAGAAGAAGCUCCGGCUAACUUCGUGCCAGCAGCCGCGGUAAUACGAAGGGGGCUAGCGUUGCUCGGAAUUACUGGGCGUAAAGGGCGCGUAGGCGGACAGCUUAGUCAGAGGUGAAAGCCCAGGGCUCAACCUUGGAAUUGCCUUUGAUACUGGCUGUCUUGAGUUUGGGAGAGGUGAGUGGAACUCCGAGUGUAGAGGUGAAAUUCGUAGAUAUUGGGAAGAACACCGGUGGCGAAGGCGACUUGCUGGCCAGCAACUGACGCUGAGGCGCGAAAGCCAGGGGAGCAAACGGGAUUAGAAACCCUAGUAGUCC
rnacentral:rRNA from 1 species